CAGUCGAACGGAAGAUUACGGCGACGAGAUUUCGGUCAAAUCAAGUGUAUCUUUAGUGGCGGACGGGUGAGUAACGCGUGGGUAACCUGCCAUAUACAGGGGGAUAACACUUAGAAAUAGGUGCUAAUACCGCAUAAGCGCACAUGGCCGCAUGGCCAGGUGUGAAAAACUCCGGUGGUAUAUGAUGGACCCGCGUCUGAUUAGCUAGUUGGUGAGGUAACGGCCCACCAAGGCGACGAUCAGUAGCCGGCCUGAGAGGGUGGACGGCCACAUUGGGACUGAGACACGGCCCAAACUCCUACGGGAGGCAGCAGUGGGGGAUAUUGGACAAUGGGGGGAACCCUGAUCCAGCGACGCCGCGUGAGUGAAGAAGUAUCUCGGUAUGUAAAGCUCUAUCAGCAGGGAAGAAAGAAAUGACGGUACCUGAGUAAGAAGCCCCGGCUAACUACGUGCCAGCAGCCGCGGUAAUACGUAGGGGGCAAGCGUUAUCCGGAAUUACUGGGUGUAAAGGGAGCGUAGACGGUGAUGUAAGUCUGGAGUGAAAGGCGGGGGCCCAACCCCCGGACUGCUCUGGAAACUAUAUGACUGGAGUGCAGGAGAGGUGAGCGGAAUUCCUAGUGUAGCGGUGAAAUGCGUAGAUAUUAGGAGGAACACCAGUGGCGAAGGCGGCUCACUGGACUGUAACUGACGUUGAGGCUCGAAAGCGUGGGGAGCAAACAGGAUUAGAUACCCUGGUAGUCCACGCCGUAAACGAUGAUCACUAGGUGUGGGUGGGUAUGGACCCAUCGGUGCCGCAGCAAACGCAGUAAGUGAUCCACCUGGGGAGUACGUUCGCAAGAAUGAAACUCAA
rnacentral:rRNA from 1 species